AAUACCUAUGCAGCCACAAACAUAAAUAAGAAAACAGAGGCUUAGCAUAACUGGGAAUAGUGGAUCUCACAAGACUCUCGUGCAUCCAUACUAUCAGAGCAAAAUGAUUUUUUUCGCUUACCUAAGCACUUCUGCCAUUCAAAUCUUCAAGCACUCCCAAGUGGGUACAUCUCUGAUGCAGCAGCCCGAGUGCAGUUCCUAAAUCUUCAAGACAUUUGAGUAAAAGGUGAGGACUGAGAAGUAGUUCUCAGGACUCAGCAUGGUGUUCGUUACGGGGGCUGUGGAUUAGGGUUACUGUCCCAGCAUUGAUCACUGCAUCUCAAGUCACAGGAUGCCACAUAGUCUUCAGUCAGUCCCUCUUGGUGUCUGUGAGGCCAAGAGUUUUUUCACUCCUAGUCUGCAAUACCCUGCCUGGGCUGUCGCCCAAGUGGCUUUCACACCUAAAGUGAGAAAGAAUUAAGUGCUUCUGCAAUUCAGAAAUGGUUCUGUCUGCCUGGGAGCUGCAAAGCUCUCUUGACUGAACUAUUCCUUUUAGACUCUGAAGCUAAGUGUACGAAGGAGCCUACAACGGUGCCAAGGAAGAGAAAGAAGCCCGCUCCAUUGGAGCUCUUCCGGGGAAGUGCUCACAGCUGCCCACUGCUUUUCACCAAGACUCCUAUGUUUUCCUCAUCACACAGGCCACUCUCAGUUCAUUUGAAGUGUACACCUGAGCCAAGACUGGACCAUCACCACCAUAGCACACUUACCGUCCACUGAUGGCUGCCUUAGUGCAUCUAUUUUGCCACAGCAAAGAUGCGGUGGAACAAUACUUCCUUGAAUUUGUGUUUCGUUACGAAUUCUGAAAGAAAUUCUCACCUCAUUCCCCUUUGCAUCCUUUGCCCAAUUCUCCACUGGCGCAUUUUCCAACUGAUUUGCAAAAUCUGUUUUGUUUUUGGCUUGGUUGC